UACGGAGGGGACUAGCGUUGCUCGGAAUCACUGGGCGUAAAGCGCACGUAGGCGGAUCGCUAAGUCAGGGGUGAAAUCCUGGAGCUCAACUCCAGAACUGCCUUUGAUACUGGCAAUCUCGAGUCCGGGAGAGGUGAGUGGAACUGCGAGUGUAGAGGUGAAAUUCGUAGAUAUUCGCAAGAACACCAGUGGCGAAGGCGGCUCACUGGCCCGGUACUGACGCUGAGGUGCGAAAGCGUGGGGAGCAAACAGG
rnacentral:rRNA from 1 species